rnacentral:rRNA from 1 species
UGCAGUCGAACGAUGAUCUCCCGCUUGCGGGGGUGAUUAGUGGCGAACGGGUGAGUAAUACGUGAGUAACCUGCCCUUGACUCUGGGAUAAGCCUGGGAAACCGGGUCUAAUACUGGAUACUACUCCUUAUCGCAUGGUGGGGGGUGGAAAGGGUUUUACUGGUUUUGGAUGGGCUCACGGCCUAUCAGCUUGUUGGUGGGGUAAUGGCUCACCAAGGCGACGACGGGUAGCCGGCCUGAGAGGGUGACCGGCCACACUGGGACUGAGACACGGCCCAGACUCCUACGGGAGGCAGCAGUGGGGAAUAUUGCACAAUGGGCGGAAGCCUGAUGCAGCGACGCCGCGUGAGGGAUGACGGCCUUCGGGUUGUAAACCUCUUUCAGCAGGGAAGAAGCCACAAGUGACGGUACCUGCAGAAGAAGCGCCGGCUAACUACGUGCCAGCAGCCGCGGUAAUACGUAGGGCGCAAGCMUUGUCCGGAAUUAUUGGGCGUAACG